GAGAGGGGGCAUGAGAAGGUGUGGAGAGGAGCAGAAGUUUGGUGGGGUCACGGGAGGCACACAGUGAGGGGAAUUGCAGACAACAACAACAACAAAAUGCCUGGACAUAGAGGACCUCAGACCACUUACCCCACCCGUGGCAGUAAUUGUCAAGAUCCUGGAAGAUUAAAAAAUCAAAUGUCCCAUUAACUGGCUAUUGGGACUGAUUGUCCAGCUGGCCAGGCCAUAUUGCAGAAAAGGAUAAGGUGCUUUAGCUUCAGGUUGGGAGUGAAAUGGAGAGACGUGGGAGCCUUGAGAAUGCAAGGCAGGGAAGAGGAAGCAGGGAUGGAGAGAGGUAACUUUCCCAUGAUGACGCAAGACUGCCUUUGAACAGGGGCAGCUCAAGAAAAGGAGGCGCAUCUCCUAUCAGUUUCCUGAGGUCAAAGACAGUAGACCAAAGCAGGUGUCUCCAGGGCUGGGAGGCAUCAGGGGAGCUGGCUGUCUGCAGGGGCUGAGUUUGAUCAGGCCUGGAUUUUCCUGCAGUACACCUCUUGACUGGGUCUUGAGGGCUAACAAGGGUGAGGAGGGAGGCAAGGAGCAACAGCGGGGAAGGUAAAACCUCACUCACCCAACCUGAAGGGAAGAUCCAGACUAGCAGCCAGUCGAGGCAGAGUGGGGGUCACAGGGCCAUGUCAGCAGUGAGCUCUGUUUGCCUAGGCAGGGUUCGAGGAAGGGAGGUCAGACCCUCGGAGUAGGGGACCUCAUUACCCUCCUCACAUGAGUGAAACCGAGGCAUGCCUGAGACCACCGAGGCAGGCGGGGUUGAAGCAAACACCCUAGAAGAGGAUUCUGGGAACCCUGACCGGUCUUCUUGCUCUUUUACUUGCUGACCACGAGAUGAGCCUUUGGUUCCACACACGCUCCUCACUGUGGCCAUGUGGCACACUCACCAGAGGCCCAACGCAGUGGGGCCACCCAACCUUGGAACCCAACUUUCAAAGUUGUGAGUCAUUAUAAACUUCCUCUCAGGCCAGGGAUGUAGCUCAGUGGCCCAGGGCCUCCCUGGCAAGUGCAAGGUGGUGAGUUCCAUUACUGGUACACCGCUACCUCACCCCCCCCCCCCCAAAAAAAAAACACAAAAAGAAAAAGGGAAAAAACUUUCUCUCUUUGUAUGUUCAAAAUCUUCAGUAUUUCAUUACAGUAACAGGAAGCUGACACACUUAUCUAACAUCCUUGCUUUUUUUCCUCACGUAACUUUUAGUCCUCUGUAUCUCUUUACUGUUUGAUACUGAUUUUCAUUACCCUGGCUAAAGUUUGCCUUCAUUCUUCACGCCUUACCCUGCAUUACUUCCCUCUUGUCUACCAAUCCUUUAAGGCCUUGCUUAGGCCUCACGAUUCCUGUGAGGCUGUUGAGGUUCAUUGCUGUGGUUGGGGCACUGGUUGAAUGUGUUUUCAAAGGCUCAUGCGCUGGAGCUUGAGCUCUGGUGAGGCAGUGCUGAAAGGGUGGAUGGUUUAAGAGUUGGGGCCUGAUGAGCUCAGAGGGUCAUCCUUUCAGAAGACACUGAUGCUGGUGUUUUUGAGUAAGUUCUUUUGAGAGUGGGUUGGUAUAAAUCUGUAUGUACUUAGCUGCUUCUGCAUGUGGUGAGCUCUCUUUCUGUUUUUGAGCCACCUUGUGACACAACCAGAAAGGUUCUUGCUGGUAUUUCAGGCUACGCAGAUCGAUUUACAGAGCUAAAUAAGCUUCUUUUCUUUAUAAAGUAUCCAACUGCAGGUAUUUUCUUAUAGCAACAGAAAAUUCUGUGGUAUAGUCGUUUUCAGAUGGAAUUAACAUUUCUCUGAUUUGUGUUGUUUCUCUGUCUCAUACUUAUUCAUGUAAUUUGCAUGCAGUUCUCUGAACUUGGAAUCAUGUGCGUACAUAUCUUUCUUAUACUUAAGAGGCUAUGAACUUACUGUGUAUUGGACCCACUGUAUCUUUUGUCUUUAUAUUUAAAGAUAGACCUUUAUCUAGGCCAUACAUCUGUCAAUGUUUUUUAAAGUGAAUAGAAUCAAAAUUGGCUGCGUGUCUGGUACACUUCGGUAGUUCUGAGGAAUUUGUGGUAUUUGCAGCAUACUAUGUGUACCCUAUGGUAUUGCAUUCUUUGGUGUUGCCUGAGCCAGUAUAAUUCAAGGCCAAUGCGUGGAAUAUAGACAGCGGUUGGUAUGAGAACUACUGCUCUACUUUAUAUUUACCUGGCCACAUCUGAUUGCAGCUGGCUUGGGGAACUGCUUUCAGGAAUGUGUAAGGUUUGUUGUUAGUCACAAUUUUUUAAAAAAGCAAACUGUUAUAUUGAUAUAUAAUUUAUAUAUCCUAAACUUUAGGUGGACAAUUUGAUGGUUUUUGUAUAUUUGUUCCUUUAUUACCUUUACAUAAUUUAAAAACAUUUUUAUUGCUUCAGAAGAAAAGCUUGUACCUAUCUGUAUCACUUCCCCCACCCCCCACCCUCUCGGAGGAAAUGUGAACCCUCUAAUCUACUGUCUUUCUUUACAGAUGUAUCUAUUUUGAACAUUUUGUAUCAGUAAAGUCAUAUUGUAUGUGGUCUGUGGUCUUGACUGGCUUCUUUCAGUUAGUGUGAUGUGUUUGAAGUUUGUUCUUGUGUUAGAAUGUUAUUACUAAUUUUUAUUGCCGAGUAAUAUUGCCUACAUAUGGAUAUACAGCUUUCCCUGUUUACCAACUGAUGGACAUUUAGGUUGCUUCUAUUUUCAGUUGUCCUGAAUACUGCUCUAAACAUAUGCAGAAGUUUUAUAUGAUGUAGUUUUUAUUCUUGCAUAAGUGUGGAAUCACUGGGUCUUGUGACUCUCCAUAAAACUAGUGAUUUUAGACAUCUAGCACUAUUUACAUUCUUCCCAGCAUUGCAUGGGGGUUACUUCUUUUUUUAUAUUCUUGUCAACACUUGUAAUUAUCAGGCUUUUUAUUAUAGUCAUUCUUACGGGUUUAAAGUGGUGUCUCAUUGUGGUUUUGUAUUUUCCUGAUGACUAAUGACAGUGAAUGUCUCAUGUAUUGAUUGACCAUUCCUAUGUUCUCCUUAGAGAAAGGGCUCAUUUAAACCUUUUACCCAUUUUUAAGUUAACAUUUCAUUGUUAAACUUUAAGAUAUUUUGUACAUGGUGAAUAUAUAUCGCUUAUCAGGUGCAUGAUGUUUUCCUAUUCUGUUGUCAUUUCACUGUUUUGUUUUAAAGCAUAAACAUUUUAAAUUUCAUGAAAUUCAUUAGUAUUUCUUUUCUCAUUUAUGCUUUUGGCAUUGCAUAACUAAAAUCAUUGCAUAACUGUGACAAAGCUUCCUGUGCUUGUCUUCUUCCCGUGGACUGUUUCUUCUGUUUGUAGGUAGCCAUGGAGUCAUUGUAACUUCUUUCAUUGCCACCAGAUUUGCACAGUGUCAGGACCAGAGUCAUGAAGCCAGAUCCAUAGGUUAGAUGGUCAUAAUUAUGUGUAUGUGCUUUGAGAUGGGGCUCUGGUGGUGCCCGGAAAACACUGGAGGGGGAUUUGCUGGACUCUGUUAAUAAAGAUCUGGUGAAUAAACAAUUAAAAAUGUUGGUAAAAUGAUGUAUAACCAGACUUAGAUCUUUUGCUAAGAAACACCAUCUAAAUUAGCUUGUUCUGAAAUCUUUGACUACAGUUUAAACUUGUGUAUAAUAAGAAAUUUAGAAAACAAGAUUAUUUGGGUAAAACCUAGCAAGGUUGGUUGAUAGCUGGGAGAUCCAUAGUAUCCAGAUUAUGUCUGGCACGUAAAAUUUUCAAAAAGCCAGCUAGCUGUAAUAGCUUUUCUUCUUUAUUUCAUGUUAGAAUAUUGGAUGUUUGAGAUCUUUUUUUGGUAUAUUUCCAUGCUCUUGCUUUCAGUGCCAGUUUAAGGAAUUGCUAAUUGUCCAUUCUUGCUGGAAAGUACUGAUUUCCAUUUGAAUAUAACAGUCUUUUUGCUAAAACUUUCCUAUGGUUAAUUCGAGCAAAUACAGAAGCCUUCUGUUUGUGAACUGAAUGUUCAGCCAGCCGUGAUGUAGCCACUAUUAUCAAUGAAGCUUAUUCAUCACUCUGCGCUAGUGCAUUGUACAAGGCGUGCUGAGGAUCUUGGAGACUUUGAAUAGAGCGCUUCUCCUUGCUUACCUCCAUGCACUGUUGGUAUUAAGUGAUUCUGUUGUCUAUCUUUUCUAGACUUUGUGGAUAAUUAGAUCUUUUUGUUUUAUGUGAUUCCCAGUAGUGCUUUGCAGAUGCUAGGCAUGAAUUGAGAGUUAGUUCAUUUUCUAAAUUAAAAAAGAGCAAUUAAUGUUGUUCAGAGAUAAUUUUGUUCUGUUCUUUUAUAUGCUGAUAUUAUCUUAUAUCCAGUGUCAUUUUACAAAGAUACAGCAAAUAUUAUGUUUUUAUGAAAUGAAGUUGAGGAUCUUACGUUAAAUCUUAAACUUUUUAAUAGUUAAUUUUGUAUCAUUGUCAGACAAUUCACAGAUUGUUGAAUUUCAUUUGAAUAGAUACAGCUGUAGAGACAGGUAUAAAAGGGAUUAUAUGACCCAGUGCAUAACUAGAAUACAGUAGAAGUUGUCAAAACCCAUUGUAUACUUUGAUAAAAUUAUGUGCUACAAAAUGUAGCUGGCACUGAUUAUGUGAUCCUUAUAAACUAUAAUCAACUCAUACAUCUGACCUGCUCACACAGUAGUAUUAUUCCCUAUGUGUAGAUAUUGGAGUACAGAAUAUCUAUGAUAGAACAGUAAUUGUAUUUUUUGAUUCCUCCAUACAGUCUUCUGUUUUUCAGAAUAGUCCAUGGAAAAUGGUGCAUGGAUUCCAUUCACUAUUCCUGGUGUUUUCUGUCAACAAUCCACGUUUCAGGGACUCAGCCUGUGGUUUCUGUUCUAUGGAAAUGCAGCUCUCUGGAUCUCCGGAGUUACAAUAGGUCAGGAACGAGGUGGUUCUGGAGGAGCUCGUUGAUUCAACAGUUUUUGCUUGUGGGACUUGUGUUUUCCAUGAGGACACUUUAAAAAUUAAUUCAUUUCUUUCAGACAAAUACUCCUCCCUUCCUGCUCACUCACACGUGUACCAACCCCCUUUAGAGAUUCCCGAGCCCAUAGAAUUCCUCUGGAUUAAAAAUGAGUCUUGAGUUGGCACCUACUGUAUUAAGUACCUCAGGGUAGCUUAAGCCCAGGACCACCUUGCAGGGGGACUCAGGCGGCUAAAGGCACAGAAAACGCAAUUCUAAUUUCUGCUUGCGUAUCAUCCAGUGUCCAAAAUAAGGGUGCUGUACACAUGGUGUGCACAGUGUGUGGGCUACAACCCUUUUCCAUUCUUCCCCAUGGAUAUAUGUGAACCUGUUUAAGAUUGUAAAAGCCCAAGAUCAUUGUAGAAUUUCACGUUUUAUUUUAAGAUAUUUUUUAUGCUUCUCAAUCUCUUUGCAACACACCUAUAGUACUUACAUUUCUGAAAUUUGACUAGAACUUAUGACUGAUAACAGUGUGCAUCUCAUGUGUUCAUUGCCGAUUCCUGUGUUUUCCUUGGAGAAAUAGCUUAUUUAAGCCCUAUACCCAUUUUUAAUUGGAUGGUUUCCUUAUUGUUAGACGUUGAGAUUUCUGCACCUUUCACCGGCAGGCAUCGGUCUUGUCUCUCGGUAGCAUACUGCACUUGUUCAUCCUUCUUGUAAUUACUAAUCUUCCUUCCUGUGAUCAGGUCAGUUACUGGGUUAAGUGAACAGUUCCCUAGCAUGCAUUCUGAUCUGUAUUAAACAGCAAGGAAGAAGAUAAGACUGUAUAACAUACAAAACAUUUCUGUAAGCCAUUCUCCCUUGCCUGUGUUUCUUUGCACAAAACAAGUUCUUUUCAUUCCUAUGUUGUUCUGGUGUGUUUAUAACUGGUCUGUAUCCCUCCCUGUCUCCCUCUCACUCCAAACCUACCUCUCCGCUGCUGCAGUCAUGUUUGUGAAUACAGAAAUACAUCCUUUUCCUGCUUAUAAAAAUCUUCGGUAGUUUACUACUAUGUUUUGAGUGAAGUCCAAAAGCUAUAUUAUGAAGUCAUGGUGGUCUCUUUGAAUUCUGUUUGAGUUAACUUUCCGGCCUUUUUCGGUUUAUUCCUGUGUAUAAAUGUCCCAUCCACUUAUGUGACCUCCAGGCCUCGGCCAGUGCUCUGCUCUGCCCAGGGUGCGUUUCUUCUCCCUGCAUUUUGCCCUCUUCCGUGGCCCAGCGCCUUGGUCUUCUGUGGAGCCUCAGUGGACUCUGCCAGCCAUCUGUCUUCAUCUGGGUUGUGAGUGUCCUGUUACCUAGCAAACAGCGCUUGUGUUUUGUCACUUUACUGCUUUGCUCCUCAGACUUUCUGCAUUGAUGACUUUGUAAAAUAUAGCAAGAAAUGAAAUACAAAAAGAUAUACUUAAUAGAUGCUUUAGUUUGAAAUUAUUAGGUUCAGCAGACCUAAAAUUACUGCUAAAUUGCUGUAAAAUUUUCUAAAUGUUUUCAAUCAUUUUCUAUGCUUAGCCAUCUUCUCAUAGGUCAGCCCUGGUCCGUGGCCACAUUUUGAGUAGCACUGCUAUGUUACCCUUAGGAGACAAUUUGAGAGUCAUUUGCUUUCUUUACUGGAUAGGGGUUUGUCUUAAUAAUCUUGUAUUUUGUGUGGAUAUCUUUGGUCCCUGCCUCUUCUCAAAAAACUGGAUCUUAGAAUAGUGCAUGAUACACUUGGUAAAUGAGGGAGUGAAUUAAAUAUAGCGUUCCCUCUUAAUCACAACUGCCUUGCGUUUUAGUUUGCAGAGAAUCUUGAAUCGAGCUCUACUUUAAUGUGAGUGCCUCUUUGAAGUUCACGAUGCCCUACUGAAGCCUUGCUAGGGAGGAGGAGGCUUCCUGACUGUCUGCAGUGGGUGUACUUGUGCGGUGAAGCGUCUCAGCACUGAGAAAUCCUGUGUACAGGAAGAAGACAUUGUCAUGUCUUUAGCCCGGGAGAUAAAAUGGUUCUUUGCUGUAGGAGAUGUUUGGACUAGCAGCACCUUUGACACAGUCUUUGUCCCACGGUUGCCUUGAGGAGAAUGCUUGCUCCAUGACUUUCCUGUUGCUGGUUUUACUGGCAAAUCACAGGCACUUGCUGUUCCACCCUCCGAUUACACACUCCAGGACUCAGCCCUCCUGUCAGCCCGUCCUCUUUCACAUUCCUGAGUUUGCAUAUCUGUAGAAUCUGUGCCUUUUUGAAGAUUGUACUGUCAGUUUAGAAGCGGGGAACCUGCUCUAUUUCCUGUGACUGUGCAGCAGGAGUUGUGCUCUGGGAGAAAGUGUUGGCAACCUGAAUCCCAGCCCAGACUUUGCUGAUAAUUGAUUGCAGACUCUGGGACAGCCAUAUUCUUUUUCUAAGUUGUGUCUUCAUUUGAAAUCUAGACUAAGUUAUUUCCAGGAUUACUGAUACUGGGGACUUAACUCGGGGCACUGUACCACUGAGCUACAUUCACAGCCUUUUUAUUUCCUAUUUUGAGUCAAGGUCUGAGUUGCCCAGGCUGGCCUUCACCUUGCAGUCCUCCUGUCUCAGCCUGCGUAGCUGGAAUUACCGGUAAUAGCCAUGGUCUUGAAUGACCCCGUUACCCAGAGUUAACCUACUUUGCUGUGGAAUGUGGAGAAAAGAGAAAACCAGGACUGGAAAAGAAGUUGUAAACAUUUCUUUUCUAAUUCUUUGUUCUGUUGAAUUUCUGCAUUCCUGCCUUUAAGUGAGAAACACUUUGAGUUCAUGUAAAAGCUGUCCUUCAGUGUUGACCCAUUCAAUUCCCAGUCAUGUAACCCUGAGAGUUUUCUGUUUUCUGUAAGCUGUGGUUUCCUUCUUGGAGGGAUACUGCCACUACUUAACUUAAUGGCUACUUUAAAUAUUAAAUAGCAUGGUGGAAGUGUGUACUUGGCAUGGCGUACUGCUAACCUGGGAAGACCUCUGGGAAGCCUCCUUUCUGCUUUCUGGUAAAAUUGAGCAUUAUUCAUAUUACUUAUUAUAAAUUGAUUACUUGUGCCCAUGUUGAAAACUCAAAGAAAAUGUUACAAAUAGCAUAAAGUAAAAGUUGUACUUGAUGAAUGAAA